rnacentral:misc_RNA from 1 species
CGCAUCAGAGCACACAGCGCCCACCAAACGGGUGCACCGCACAGCCGUCACCACUCAACAUCACCUGAGGAAGCAAGAAGACGACCAACGAAAGGAGUGUGUGGGAUGCGUGUCGGUGCAAGCAUCACUCGAGCACACCCUUGCACGCAUACUAACCACUAGGCAACUGACGACAAAUCGACGCGCCGAAGGUCUGCGCGGUUGUUAUACUGUCUCUCGCUAGGUAUUGGCCAACGACACUAACGACGCGCGUGCCCGGAGAGCAGCGCCAGCAAUGGUUCUCGUGCUUGUCGUGGGUGACACGUGGGUGCCGCAGCGGGCCAGUGGCGUCCCGGAGGUGUUUUGCAAGAUGUUCUCGCCUGGUCGCGUUCACAAGCUGUUGAUCACGGGUGGCGUCGGCAGCAAGGAAAUGUACGACUACUUGCGCACGAUUGCCCCAGAGGUGCACUGUGUGACGAGCAGCGUCGACCGGCAAUGGACAGAUCACAUGCCCGAGAGCGUCGUACUGACGGUUGAAGGCCUCAAGCUCGGGCUGAUUCAUGGUCACCAAGUACCAGUGGGAGACAAGGACUCGCUCGCGGCCGUGCAGCGGGAGCUGGAUGUGGACGUGCUGGUGUCGGGCUCUACACACCAGUCGAAGUACUUCGAGUUUGAUUCCCACCUCUUUGUCAACCCAGGCUCUCUUAGCGGUGCGGACACAGAGUACGACGUGAAUGUUGUGCCCUCCUUCAUGCUAUUGGACAUACAGGACAAGUCUGUGGUCACCUUCAUUUACCAGUAUCACCCGGAGGACGAUACCGGCGGUGGCGGCACCGCUAGCGAGGACUUGGCGGCGACUGGGAUAGUGCCUGGCCUCAGGAUCAAGAAGAAGGAAUGGGCUAAGGAGUGAAACUCCUGCGUGUUUGCGAUUCAGCGUUUGAUGCGGCUCUCUCCCUCCCUCCUUCCCCCCUUUGUGGCCUGGUACACGGCCGUUGGCGCCGCUCUGGGUUGUCAUUUCCUUUUCGUUCUGUAGCAUGUCUGUGCGGGCAGAGAGCACGUUUCCUGUGCUUUAGUACUUCAGUCAUCAGCGGGGCAAUGGUGCGAAGAUGACAUCUGGCAUGCCCUGGAGUUGGUCGCCUCGUGGAGCCGUCAGGUGUUUAGGAGGCUCCGACUUGUGGUUGUGCGCGUUUCUGUCUGUGCGUGAUGCGUAGCGGAGCCAGUACAAGGCACCUCCUCACCUUUACUGUCUUCCCUGUCUGGACGCUACCUUGGCGGCAUUCUAUUUUGUUGUUGCCGGGAUUCGAUCCCUGUUUGUGCUCCGUUGCUUCACGCUGCCUCCUCCUUUCUCGGUGGCUUCCCCGUCCCCUCUACCACUUCCUUUGGCUUUGUAUCCUCUGGCUAUUCUUGUGGCGCUUCUCCACCCUCUUCGACGUUUUGUGACGGCCAUGGGUUGCGGUUCAUUCUGCUCUCUGCGAAUCAGCGUCAGCACUCGUGCGACUAGCCGAUGGCGGCCGCUUCUCCCAAAAAGCUCCUGCCGCUUGUAUGUCUGAGCGCCAGAGAAUGAAAGUUC